AGUGUAGCUCAGCCUGGGCAGAGCACCGGUCUCCAAAACCGGCGGUCGGGGGUUCGAAUCCUCCCACU
rnacentral:tRNA from 1 species